rnacentral:rRNA from 1 species
UGCUUAACACAUGCAAGUCGAGCGAAGCAUUUUUAAGGAAGUUUUCGGAUGGAAUUAAAAAUGACUGAGCGGCGGACGGGUGAGUAACGCGUGGGUAACCUGCCUCAUACAGGGGGAUAACAGUUGGAAACGACUGCUAAUACCGCAUAAGCGCACAGUGCUGCAUAGCACAGUGUGAAAAACUCCGGUGGUAUGAGAUGGACCCGCGUCUGAUUAGGUAGUUGGUGAGGUAACGGCCCACCAAGCCGACGAUCAGUAGCCGACCUGAGAGGGUGACCGGCCACAUUGGGACUGAGACACGGCCCAAACUCCUACGGGAGGCAGCAGUGGGGAAUAUUGGACAAUGGGGGAAACCCUGAUCCAGCGACGCCGCGUGAGUGA